rnacentral:rRNA from 1 species
UACGAAGGGGGCUAGCGUUGCUCGGAAUCAUUGGGCGUAAAGGGCGCGUAGGCGGCUGUACAAGUCAAAGGUGAAAUCCCUCGGCUCAACUGAGGAACUGCCUUUGAAACUGUACGGCUUGAGGCCGGGAGGGGGUAGCGGAAUUCCCAGUGUAGCGGUGAAAUGCGUAGAUACUGGGAGGAACACCAGUGGCGAAGGCGGCUACCUGGACCGGUUCUGACGCUGAGGCGCGAAAGCGUGGGUAGCAAACAGG